AUGGGAAGAGCGGCGGAAUGGAGGACCGCUACCGGGUGCAGAGAGCCGGGAAGGAACCUUGGGGUGCGGGAGCCGGAGCGUCCGGGAUUCGGCCCAACAGCAGUUUGCCCGGUGGGGGCAGAAUACUCGCGCUCCCGGGAAGGGGAUGUCUCCCGGGGGCGGUUACACAGCGAGGCUUGUUUGGCUCGCAGCAGGGCGCUCCCGGGGGAGCGGUUGUGCAGUGGAGGACGCCUGGGAGGCGCGCAGCGAGCAGGAUGCUCCCUGGCCCAGGCCGGCGCGUGUACGUGUGUGUGCACGGUACAGGGCGUGUGCACGGCGCGGGCGGGACGCGCGCCAGUGCGGCCGCCGAGCUCCGCUGCAAUACAAGGCCAGCGCCGCCGAGUGAAAAUACCGCGCAAAACCCUGGCUAGAGAGCCGCGGGGGGCCGGCUGGGGGAACCAAGCGGACGCGCACGGCCGGGCCCUCACCUCACGGCUGAGCGUUCUAAUGCGAAGUUGCAGCACCCUCAGACGAGGAAGGAAGCUGCGUGAGUUUCCACGCACCCCAAGAAGACCGCGAGCCCCAGGGACUCGCACGCGCCCGCGCCCGACGACACGGAGCGCGUACCCGCUCGUACCCUGGCGCGCUCCCCGCGCGGUCUGUGGAAAGACAGCUCGGGCGGGUAUUAAGGGGAGGGGGAGGAGGGGGUGUGGUUUGGCUGGAACUAGCCAAUGGGCCGGGGAGGGGCGCGCGGGGGCGGAGCUCAUGUUCAGAGCGCCGAUUGGCCAGUUGGCCCUCCGGUAUGCAGAUACGGUGGAGUCACGUGCCAGGGGCCGGGACGACUUCCUGUUGGAGGCCAAGGCGGGGCGGGGAAGGGGGCGCGAGCGCCCCGUCUGGCUGAAGCGGGGGGAGGGGGGUUCUUGUCAGUUAGAGCAACAAGAUGGCCGCGGUGGCAGCUCCGCACCUCAGCGCGACGGCCCCGGGAGCCGCAGCCGCCGCCGCCGGCCCCGCUGCCCCGCAGCCCUGAGCGUCGCCCCGGCCGCCCCCACCGCCGCUGACAGGGCUGUCCCCGCGCCCGCCGCGCUCCUGCCGCCGCCGCCGCCGCCGCGGGCCCGCCCGAGCCGGAGGCGGAGGGAGCGGAGCCGGCCGAGCGCAGAGCGCCGAGCUCAGCCGCCGCCACCUCGGAUCGCGGGCCGCGCCGGAGCCGCCGUCCCGCCUGCGGGCGCGAGGAGGAGGGCGCGUCGCGGCGUCGCCGGGGCCGGACCUGGACCCGCCGGGACGCGCCGCCGCCCACCCGCCCGCGCCGCCGCCGCCGCCGCCCGCGCCGGGACUUGA
rnacentral:lncRNA from 1 species